GCAGGAGGCACAGGUUUGAUCCCUGGGUCGGGAAGAUCCCCUGGAGGACAGCAUGGCAACCCACUCCAGUAUUCUUGUCUGGAGAAUCCCAUGGACAGAAGAGCCUGGCAGGCUACAGUCCAUAGGAUCACAAAGAGCUGGGCACAACUGAAGUGACUGAGCAUGCAUGCAUGCAUGAGGGUCCAUGGAGGGUGUUUGAGCUGGGGAUGUGUCAUGGUCAGGCCGAGCUCUAAAAAGAGCUAACUUGGAGAUUAUGAACUGAAUAGGGAAGGCUGCGAGUCCCAAACCACCACUGGCCUGAGAAUCAGAAAGGAAGGAGGGUCACAAGAUCCUGCAAGAGGAGGGGGCAGAGCCGUGGGAUGUGUGAGAGCCUCUGACUCUGGGCUGUAACCUUAGUGACCGAGAGAACACUGAGAUGGAGGGAAGGAUGGUUUGGGGAGAAAAACAGUGGCAUGCUCUGAGAUGUGUUGCAUUUGAGGUGAUCUGCAGCCUCUCAUCAGCAGCAGCGGUGUUCCUUCGACAGCUGUUUAUUAAGAGGGACAGCAAAAUGAAUAAGGCACAGAAGCAAACACGCGAAGCUCACAGGAGCCGAGCACCCGCUGCAGGGCCCGAGUGCAAGGCUUCACAGACAUUGCUUUUCUGACUACACUCCGGCCCCUUGAAGUGACCUGUCAUCAUUCACAAUCCAGGACACACAGAAUAAUCACCUGGGGAGGUUUAAAAAUACCGGGACCUGAGGCUCAUCCUGUGAAAGAUGUGUGUACUGUUACUGCACUGAGUGACGGUCCUGAUCUAAGGUGGUGAUUCUCAACUGAAUCUUGGCUGGAACUUCCAAUUCUGUUGAUGCCCUUCAGCCAAAGACCACCAGGAAGACAUCUACAAUUAACCCAGCUGAGUCUGUUCCUCAUGAUAGAGAGGGAGAGUAUCCCCGUGGGGAAUCCUGGGGCAUUAUCCCCACUGGAGGGUCUUAGGAAGAACCCAUCAUAGCAUUGAGCUGUGGUGGGGUGACUUAGUAGAGGGUCUCAGGAAAUGAGCCUUGCUCUAGAUCAAUGGCUUCAGAAACUUCAGGUGAACAGCAAAGGGACUCAGUCAUGCAUAUACAUGUAUCCAUGCUCCUCCAAACUCGCCUCCUAUCCAGGCUGCCACAUAACAUUGAGCAGAGUUCUGUUAUGCUGGACAAGGAACUGGCUUGUUUAUCAUGCGGUCCUCAGCUCCGAGAACUCAGCCAGACUCAUGGUGGACCUUUGAGCUUCCAGGGAGUCUGGAGUGAAUGACGCAGACCUGGGAGAGUCCUAAGCUCAAGAAGACCCUAGGCCCCAGAAAAGCAGCAGGGGUCUUGGUGUUACCCAGGAAGACCUCAGAAGAAGGGUUGAUCUCGGGUGGCCUCAGCCUGCAGCAGCUUGAAGUAGGGCUUUGGUUCCCUGCCAGAGACUGAGUUCGGGUCCCGGUGGUGUGAGCACCACAUCAUAACCACUAGACUAGUGGUCAGUGACAAGGACCUGGCUCUCAGCUUUGCGGAAAAGAAUUCCCACGAAGACGAAAAGUAGUGAAACAAGUAAAGUGUUUAUUAG
ensembl:lncRNA